AACGAACGCUGGCGGCGUGGAUAAGACAUGCAAGUCGAACGCUAAUUGCGGAGUAGCAAUAUUUCGUAGUUGGAGUGGCGCAAGGGUGCGUAACACGUGGGUAAUUUGCCGUGAAGCUCGGAAUAACUCGCUGAAAGGCGAGCUAAUACCGGAUGUGAUAUUUGGGAGGCAUCUCCUAAAUCUUAAAGCUGGGGACCGUAAGGCCUGGCACUUCACGAUAAGCCCGCGGCCUAUCAGCUAGUUGGUGAGGUAACGGCUCACCAAGGCUAAGACGGGUAGCUGGUCUGAGAGGAUGACCAGCCACACUGGGACUGAGACACGGCCCAGACUCCUACGGGAGGCAGCAGUGGGGAAUAUUGCGCAAUGGGCGAAAGCCUGACGCAGCGACGCCGCGUGGGUGAUGAAGGCC
rnacentral:rRNA from 1 species